GACGUAGGGUGCAAGCGUUGUCCGGAUUUACUGGGCGUAAAGCGCGCGUAGGCGGCUCGUUAAGUGUGAAGUGAAAUCCCGGGGCUCAACUCCGGAACUGCUUUACAUACUGGCGGGCUUGAGGGAUGCAGAGGUUUGUGGAAUUCCUGGUGUAACGGUGAAAUGUGUUGAUAUCAGGAGGAACACCCAUGGCGAAGGCAGCAAACUGGGCAUUUCCUGACGCUGAGGCGCGAAAGCGUGGGUAGCAAACAGG
rnacentral:rRNA from 1 species